UACGUAGGGGGCUAGCGUUGUCCGGAUUUAUUGGGCGUAAAGAGCGUGUAGGCGGCUAGGUAGGUCCGUUGUGAAAACUCGAGGCUCAACCUCGAGACGCCGGUGGAAACCAUCUAGCUAGAGUCCGGAAGAGGAGAGUGGAAUUCCUGGUGUAGCGGUGAAAUGCGCAGAUAUCAGGAGGAACACCGAUGGCGAAGGCAGCUCGCUGGGACGGUACUGACGCUGAGGCGCGAAAGCGUGGGGAGCAAACAGG
rnacentral:rRNA from 1 species